GAUUACGACCAUACCGCGUUGAAAGCACGCCAUCCCGUCCGAUCUGGCAAGUUAAGCAACGCUGGGCCUCAGUACUUGGAACGGAGACGUCCUGGGAAUGGGUGCCGGAAAAUUGGGCUCUGGAAAAUU